CAUUAUUCUACUGGGCAAGACAAACGGUAAAAGUAAUGAGCCAUAAAAUAAGGGAGAAGGGAGUGGCUGGGAUUGCAGGUGAUGAGGCUGAUCUCUGUGUCUGAUGGGGCCAAGAGCAGCUCCAGUGACCUCCAGUCUGAUGAGAGGCCCAGGGAACCACUCCCCUGGAGGAUUGUGUCCCAGUUCCACCCAGUUGUGAAGGAGUUUCUGGCAGUCUGACUGUGAUCCUCAGUCUGACCUGAGAACCCCCCACUGUGACCAGUGGGCCGGGCUCCUCCCCUUCCCCAGGCCCCCAUCUCCACAGCGCACUGGGCACUGGGCGGAACUGGGACUGGAAGACCAUUAGCUAUGACAGGUCGGCCAGGUCAGUUCCAGACCACUGGUCAGAGAGGGCCCCUGGCUGCAGGGCAGGGCCUCAUGAGACACACUGAGCAAAACCGUCCCAGGCCACUGGUCGUGGUGAGAGUCACUGCGCAGACUGGGAAAGUCUAACUUAUGGUAGGUGGUUCACCGGUUAUUCUGGGGGAGGCUUAAUUCAGGCCAUGGGUCCCUAUGGGGCUGGGGGCCACUGGUUACACUGGGAUCUGCUGGUUCAAAGGGACCAGGUGAGCCCAGGCCUCUAGCCCUAGUGGGAACGCGCCCCCAAGGCCCCUGGUCAGCCUGAGCGAGGAGAGGGCCCGGGGUCUCCAUUGCCCGGGGGAGCUCCCAGCCCAGGGCACUGACCCGACUAGUCGGUCAGUGUUCCCGCCGCGGGCGCGGGAGCCCCGCGCUGGCCGGCCGGGGGCUGGGAGGGUCCGCUCCGGGCAGUGGGAGGGUCCUGGCCCCGCGCCCGGCCUCG